rnacentral:rRNA from 1 species
AGUUUGAUCCUGGCUCAGAGUGAACGCUGGCGGCAGGCCUAAUACAUGCAAGUCGAACGGCAGCACAGCAGAGCUUGCUCUGUGGGUGGCGAGUGGCGGACGGGUGAGGAAUACAUGGGAAUCUGCCCAGUCGUGGGGGAUAACGUAGGGAAACUUACGCUAAUACCGCAUGCGCCCUUCGGGGGAAAGCCGGGGACCUUCGGGCCUGGCGCGAUUGGAUGAGCCCAUGUCGGAUUAGCUAGUUGGCGGGGUAAUGGCCCACCAAGGCGACGAUCCGUAGCUGGUCUGAGAGGAUGAUCAGCCACACUGGAACUGAGACACGGUCCAGACUCCUACGGGAGGCAGCAGUAGGGAAUAUUGGACAAUGGGCGCAAGCCUGAUCCAGCCAUGCCGCGUGAGUGAAGAAGGCCCUCGGGUUGUAAAGCUCUCUUGUCCGGAAAGAAAAGCGCCGGGUUAAUACCCUGGUGUCCUGACGGUACCGGAAGAAUAAGCACCGGCUAACUUCGUG